rnacentral:lncRNA from 1 species
AGGCUCGAAGGUCCGAUGCGGGCAUUCUCCGUCAGAUCUACAUAGUCAGAAGAAAGAAAACACAAAAUCUAAGACCUUAUACCUAAAAGGAGUUAAAGUUCGCGAUCCUUCACCAGAGGUUCGUUUACAGAGAAGAACAGAGAAGAAAGAAGAGUCUGAUUUCUCCACUUAGGUCAUUCUGAAAAAGUCUUUUGGGUAACUCUUUGACUGGCUCAUAAUAGUACCACGGGAUGUUUUGAUACAUGGGAUAAGGAUAAAUCAAGGUAAUUAUCGUGAA